GGGCCCGUAGUAUAGCGGUAAUACAUCUCGUUUGCAACGAGAAGUUGCGAGUUCGACUCUCGCCGGGUCCA
rnacentral:tRNA from 3 species